CAGAGUUCGGCUCCUCACGGAGCCUACUCCCACCCUUUGUUAACCUAUCAACCGUUGCUUUGGCGGGCCGCGGCCUCGCCGCCCCCGGCUUGCGCUGGGGAGCGCCCGCCAGAGGACCCAAAACCCGUUUGAACAGUGGAAUCUGAGUACAAUAUUAAAAAUCA
rnacentral:misc_RNA from 1 species